AUACGGCAAACUAAUUAGAAACACACGGAAACCACAUCAGUCCAAACAAAACCAAAAAGGCUCAUGAUGAAAAUCGCAGCUGACUUGGAAUGACCAACGACAACGGAGGAUUGGAGUAGAGGUAGAAGAGAGAGAGAGAGAGAGGUAGAAGAGAGAGAGAGAGGUAGAAGAGAGAGAGAGAGAGAGAGAGGUAGAAGAGAGAGAGAGAGGUAGAAGAGAGAGAGAGAGGUAGAAGAGAGAGAGAGAGGUAGAAGAGAGAGAGAGAGGUAGAAGAGAGAGAGAGAGGUAGAAGAGAGAGAGAGAGGAAGAAGAGAGAGAGAGAGAGAGAGGUAGAAGAGAGAGAGAGAGAGAGAGGUAGAAGAGAGAGAGAGAGGUAGAAGAGAGAGAGAGAGGUAGAAGAGAGAGAGAGAG